UCCGGUUGUCCAUAGACCGGGGUUACUGAAGAGGCACACCCUCAUUGCCGGCAGUGCGGUUGGGAACUCCCAUCCAAGCCAAGGCAGACAAAGCGGACCAUAGCCGGGCAAGGCUAGGUCCAUCGCCGCG
rnacentral:ncRNA from 1 species